AGUGAACGCUGGCGGUAGGCCUAACACAUGCAAGUCGAACGGCAGCACAGUAAGAGCUUGCCCUUACGGGUGGCGAGUGGCGGACGGGUGAGGAAUACAUCGGAAUCUACUUUUUCGUGGGGGAUAACGUAGGGAAACUUACGCUAAUACCGCAUACGACCUACGGGUGAAAGCAGGGGAUCUUCGGACCUUGCGCGAUUGAAUGAGCCGAUGUCGGAUUAGCUAGUUGGCGGGGUAAAGGCCCACCAAGGCGACGAUCCGUAGCUGGUCUGAGAGGAUGGUCGGCCACACUGGAGCGGGAACACGGUCCAGACUACUACGGGAGGCAGCAGUGGGGAAUAUUGGGCAAUGGGCGCAAGCCUGAUCCAGCCAUACCGCGUGGGUGAAGAAGGCCUUCGGGUUGUAAAGCCCUUUUGUUGGGAAAGAAAAGCAGCAGGUUAAUACCCCGCUGUUCUGACGGUACCCAAAGAAUAAGCACCGGCUAACUUCGUG
rnacentral:rRNA from 1 species